UGGCGCUAGUUGUGUGUGAGUCGUUGUUGAAAUACCACUCUGAUCGGAUUGGAUACCUUCAACCUUGGCCCAUGAUCUGGGUCGGGGACAGUGCCUGGUGGGUAGUUUAACUGGGGCGGUUGCCUCCUAAAGAGUAACGGAGGCGCCCAAAGGUUCCCUCAGAAUGGUUGGAAAUCAUUCGUAGAGUGCAAAGGCAGAAGGGAGCUUGACUGCGAGACUUACAAGUCGAGCAGGGACGAAAGUCGGGCUUAGUGAUCCGGUGGUUCUGUAUGGAAGGGCCAUCGCUCAACGGAUAAAAGCUACCCUGGGGAUAACAGGCUUAUCUCCCCCAAGAGUUCACAUCGACGGGGAGGUUUGGUACCUCGAUGUCGGCUCAUCGCAUCCUGGGGCUGUAGUCGGUCCCAAGGGUUGGGCUGUUCGCCCAUUAAAG
rnacentral:rRNA from 1 species